CCUACGGGAGGCAGCAGUGAGGAAUAUUGGUCAAUGGCCGUAAGGCUGAACCAGCCAAGUCGCGUGAAGGAAGACGGAUCUAUGGUUUGUAAACUUCUUUUAUAGGGGAAUAAAGGUAUCCACGUGUGGAUAUUUGCAUGUACUCUAUGAAUAAGCAUCGGCUAACUCCGUGCCAGCAGCCGCGGUAAUACGGAGGAUGCGAGCGUUAUCCGGAUUUAUUGGGUUUAAAGGGUGCGUAGGUUGUUUUUUAAGUCAGCGGUGAAAGUUUGUGGCUCAACCAUAAAAUUGCCGUUGAGACUGGAAGACGUGAGUGUGUGUGAGGUAGGCGGAAUGCGUGGUGUAGCGGUGAAAUGCAUAGAUAUCACGCAGAACUCCGAUUGCGAAGGCAGCUUACUAAGCCAUAACUGACACUGAAGCACGAAAGCGUGGGGAUCAAACAGGAUUAGAUACCCCAGUAGUC
rnacentral:rRNA from 1 species